rnacentral:rRNA from 1 species
GGACUACCUUAGUACGGCGAGUGAACCGGGAAGAGCUCAAAUUUGUAAUCUGGCUGUCUUCGAUAGUCCGAGUUGUAAUCUAUAGACGUGUUUUCCGUGCUGGACCGUAUCUAAGUCCCUUGGAACAGGGUAUCAAAGAGGGUGAUAAUCCCGUGCUUGAUACGACCACCAGUGCUCUGUGAUACACGCUCUACGAGUCGAGUUGUUUGGGAAUGCAGCUCAAAAUGGGUGGUAAAUUCCAUCUAAAGCUAAAUAUUGGCGAGAGACCGAUAGCGAACAAGUACCGUGAGGGAAAGAUGAAAAGCACUUUGGAAAGAGAGUUAAACAGUACGUGAAAUUGUUGAAAGGGAAACGAUUGAAGUCAGUCGUGUUCUUCAGAUUCAGCUGGUUCUUCCAGUCUACUUCUGUUGAACGGGUCAACAUCAGUUUUGUCCGGUGGAUAAAGGUAGUAGGAAUGUGACUCCUCCGGGAGUGUUAUAGCCUAUUAUUGCAUACACUGGGUGAGACUGAGGACUGCAGCUCGCCUUUUGGCCGGUCUUCGGACACGUUCGAGCUUAGGAUGUUGACAUAAUGGCUUUAAACGACCCGUCUAA